rnacentral:rRNA from 1 species
GAUGAACGCUGGCGGCGUGCUUAACACAUGCAAGUCGAACGAAGCACCUCUCCCGAAGUUUGACCCAGCUUGCUGUAGAUUGAUUCAUUUGAGGUGACUGAGUGGCGGACGGGUGAGUAACGCGUGGGUAACCUGCCUCAUAGAGGGGGACAACAGUUGGAAACGACUGCUAAUACCGCAUAGUAAGAAGAAUUCGCAUGUUUUCUUCUUGAAAGAUUUAUCGCUAUGAGAUGGACCCGCGUCUGAUUAGCUAGUUGGUAAGGUAACGGCUUACCAAGGCGACGAUCAGUAGCCGGCUUGAGAGAGUGAACGGCCACAUUGGGACUGAGACACGGCCCAAACUCCUACGGGAGGCAGCAGUGGGGAAUAUUGCACAAUGGGGGAAACCCUGAUGCAGCGACGCCGCGUGAGUGAAGAAGUAUUUCGGUAUGUAAAGCUCUAUCAGCAGGGAAGAUAAUGACGGUACCUGACUAAGAAGCCCCGGCUAACUACGUG